CGCCCAGACUCCUACGGGAGGCAGCAGUGGGGAAUAUUGCACAAUGGGGGAAACCCUGAUGCAGCGACGCCGCGUGAGUGAAGAAGUAAUUCGUUAUGUAAAGCUCUAUCAGCAGGGAAGAAAAUGACGGUACCUGAGUAAGAAGCCCCGGCUAACUACGUGCCAGCAGCCGCGGUAAUACGUAGGGGGCAAGCGUUAUCCGGAUUUACUGGGUGUAAAGGGAGCGUAGACGGCAGUGCAAGUCCGGAGUGAAAGCCCGGGGCUCAACCCUGGGACUGCUCUGGAAACUGUAAAGCUGGAGUGCGGGAGGGGCAGGCGGAAUUCCUGGUGUAGCGGUGAAAUGCGUAGAUAUCAGGAGGAACACCGGCGGCGAAGGCGGCCUGCUGGACCGUAACUGACGUUGAGGCUCGAAAGCGUGGGGAGCAAACAGGAUUAGAUACCCGGGUA
rnacentral:rRNA from 1 species